rnacentral:rRNA from 1 species
GUCCACGGCCAGGCCACCCUGAGCGAGCCGAUCCCGUCUGAUCUCGGAAGCUAAGCAGGGUCGGGCCUCAUCAGUACUUGGAUGGGAGACCACCCAGGAAGACCAGGUGCUUUAGGUG